rnacentral:rRNA from 1 species
GCCCUUACUGCUCAGUAACACGUGGAUAACCUGCCCUUGGNUCCGGCAUAACCCCNGGAAACUGGGGAUAAUUCCGGAUACCGCAUAUGUGCUGGAAUGCUUUAUGCGUAAAAUGGAUUCGUCUGCCCAAGGAUGGGUCUGCGGCCUAUCAGGUAGUAGUGGGUGUAAUGUACCUACUAGCCGACAACGGGUACGGGUUGUGAGAGCAAGAGCCCGGAGAUGGAUUCUGAGACAUGAAUCCAGGCCCUACGGGGCGCAGCAGGCGCGAAAACUUUACAAUGCGGGAAACCGUGAUAAGGGGACACCGAGUGCCAGCAUCAUAUGCUGGCUGUCCGGGUGUGUAAAAUACACCUGUUAGCAAGGGCCGGGCAAGACCGGUGCCAGCCGCCGCGGUAACACCGGCGGCCCGAGUGGUGAUCGUGAUUAUUGGGUCUAAAGGGUCCGUAGCCGGUUUGGUCAGUCCUCCGGGAAAUCUGAUAGCUCAACUGUUAGGCUUUCGGGGGAUACUACCAGACUUGGAACCGGGAGAGGUAAGAGGUACUACAGGGGUAGGAGUGAAAUCUUGUAAUCCCUGUGGGACCACCUGUGGCGAAGGCGUCUUACCAGAACGGGUUCGACGGUGAGGGACGAAAGCUGGGGGCACGAACCGGAUUAGAUACCCGGGUAGUCCCAGCCGUAAACGAUGCUCGCUAGGUGUCAGGCAUGGCGCGACCGUGUCUGGUGCCGCAGGGAAGCCGUGAAGCGAGCCACCUGGGAAGUACGGCCGCAAGGCUGAAACUUAAAGGAAUUGGCGGGGGAGCACAACAACGGGUGGAGCCUGCGGUUUAAUUGGACUCAACGCCGGGA